CCAGAUUCAAGACAAUUGUUACCUCAGAGAAAAAAGAAGGGAAGGGGAUAGGAGUGAAAUCAAUAUGGGCUUAAAUUGCUUGAACCCAUCCUCAUCCGCCUAUCAUCUGCCUAUCUGAAACAUACAGGACAAAAUGGAGAGUAGUUCUGUUUUUUUCAUUUUAAAGAGAUUUUUAAGUUUGAGACAAUAUAGAUAUUUGGAUUCAUUUCAGUAUGCA
rnacentral:lncRNA from 1 species